UACGGAGGAUGCAAGCGUUAUCCGGAAUGAUUGGGCGUAAAGCGUCCGCAGGUGGCUGUGUAAGUCUGCUGUCAAAGAGCGAAGCUCAACUUCGUAAAGGCAGUGGAAACUACACGGCUAGAGUGCGUUCGGGGCAGAGGGAAUUCCUGGUGUAGCGGUGAAAUGCGUAGAGAUCAGGAAGAACACCCGUGGCGAAGGCGGCUCUCUGGGACGGUACUGACGCUGAGACGCGAAAGCGUGGGGAGCGAACAGG
rnacentral:rRNA from 1 species